rnacentral:tRNA from 1 species
GCCCUCGUAGCUCAGGGGAUAGAGCAACCGCCUCCUAAGCGGUUGGUCACAGGUUCGAAUCCUGUCGAGGGCGCCC